rnacentral:rRNA from 1 species
AAAUCAUAAUGGCCGAAAAUCUAAGGUUUCCUGAGGAAGGUUCGUCCGCUCAGGGUAAGCCGGGGGCUAAGGCGAGGCGGAGACGCGUAGCCGAUGCACAUACGGUUGAAAUUCCGUAGCCACCGAAAGAUUUAAGUACAGGGACGCUUUAGAAGUGAUGUUGCCGGGCGAUGGUUGACCCGGUCGUAAGGGAUCGAAAAUGAGUAGAGAAGUCAUCAUGGAAAGAGACAAGAAAAGCUGUAUGAAUAUCUUAGGUGCCCGUACCGCAAACCGACACAGGUAGAUAGGAAGAAGAUUCUAAGGCCAACGGGAGAAGGGUUGUUAAGGAACUCGGCAAGUUGACCCCGUAACUUAGGGAUAAGGGGUGCUCAAGUGAUUGAGCCGCAGAGAAUAGGCCCAGGCGACUGUUUAGCAAAAACACAGGUCUCUGCUAAAUCGAAAGAUGACGUAUAGGGGCUGACACCUGCCCGGUGCCGGAAGGUUAAGAGGAGAUGUGAGAGCAUUGAAUUGAAGCCCCGGUAAACGGCGGCCGUAACGAUAACGGUCCUAAGGUAGCGAAAUUCCUUGUCAGGUAAGUUCUGACCCGCACGAAAGGUGUAACGAUCUGGGCACUGUCUCAACAACCCGCCCGGCGAAAUUGUAGUACCGGUGAAGAUGCCGGUUACCCGCGACUAGACGGAAAGACCCCAUGGAGCUUUACUGUAGCCUAAUAUUGGAUUUCGGUAUUUCACGUACAGGAUAGGUGGGAGACUGGGAAGCACAGGCGUCAGCUUGUGUGGAGUCGACCUUGGGAUACCACUCUUGGAGUGCUGGAAUUCUAACCUGCGGCUUUGAAGCAAGUCGGGGGACAUUGUUAGGUGGGCAGUUUGACUGGGGCGGUCGCCUCCUAAAGAGUAACGGAGGCGCUCAAAGGUUCGCUCUGCAUGGAUGGAAACCAUGCGUCAGAGUGUAAACGCAAAAGCGAGCCUAACUGCGAGAAUGACGGUUCGAGCAGUAACGAAAGUUGGAGUUAGUGAUCCGGCGGUAUGUGAAUGGAAAUGCCGUCGCUCAACGGAUAAAAGCUACCCUGGGGAUAACAGGCUGAUCUCCCCCAAGAGUCCACAUCGACGGGGAGGUUUGGCACCUCGAUGUCGGCUCAUCGCAUCCUGGGGCUGAAUUCGGUCCCAAGGGUUUGGCUGUUCGCCAAUUAAAGCGGUACGCGAGCUGGGUUCAGAACGUCGUGAGACAGUUCGGUCCCUAUCUGUCGUGGGCGUAGGAUAUUUGCAAGGAGCUGUCCCUAGUACGAGAGGACCGGGAUGGACGCACCUCUGGUGCACCAGUUGUCACGCCAGUGGCACAGCUGGGCAGCUAUGUGCGGAACGGAUAAACGCUGAAGGCAUCUAAGCGUGAAGCCGCCCUUAAGAUAAGAUAUCCCUUCUGUUUACAGAGUAAGACCCCUUGAAGACUACAAGGUUGAUAGGCUCAAAGUGUAAGCACGGUGACGUGUUUAGCUAGCGAGUACUAAUCGGUCGAGGGCUUAACCAG